rnacentral:rRNA from 1 species
CUACGGGAGGCACCAGUGAGGAAUAUUGCACAAUGGGGGGAACCCUGAUGCAGCAACGCCGCGUGGAGGAUGACGCAUUUCGGUGUGUAAACUCCUUUUAUAUGUCAAGAAAAUGACGGUAGCAUAUGAAUAAGCACCGGCUAACUCCGUGCCAGCAGCCGCGGUAAUACGGAGGGUGCAAGCGUUACUCGGAAUCACUGGGCGUAAAGGACGCGUAGGCGGGUUGGAAAGUCAGGUGUGAAAUCCUACAGCUUAACUGUAGAACUGCACUUGAAACUACGAGCCUAGAGUAUGGGAGGGGCAGAUGGAAUUAGUGGUGUAGGGGUAAAAUCCGUAGAUAUCACUAGGAAUACCUAAAGCGAAGGCGAUCUGCUGGAACAUAACUGACGCUAAGGCGUGAAAGCGUGGGGAGCAAACAGGAUUAGAUACCCCCGUAGUC